CGUCCAGUGCUUUUCCUGUGGAGGGUGUUUAGAGAAAUGGCAGGAAGGUGAUGACCCAUUAGACGAUCACACCAGAUGUUUUCCCAAUUGUCCAUUUCUCCAAAAUAUGAAGUCCUCUGCGGAAGUGACUCCAGACCUUCAGAGCCGUGGUGAACUUUGUGAAUUACUGGAAACCACAAGUGAAAGCAAUCUUGAAGAUUCAAUAGCAGUUGGUCCUAUAGUGCCAGAAAUGGCACAGGGUGAAGCCCAGUGGUUUCAAGAGGCAAAGAAUCUGAAUGAGCAGCUGAGAGCAGCUUAUACCAGCGCCAGUUUCCGCCACAUGUCUUUGCUUGAUAUCUCUUCCGAUCUGGCCACGGACCACUUGCUGGGCUGUGAUCUGUCUAUUGCUUCAAAACACAUCAGCAAACCUGUGCAAGAACCUCUGGUGCUGCCUGAGGUCUUUGGCAACUUGAACUCUGUCAUGUGUGUGGAGGGUGAAGCUGGAAGUGGAAAGACGGUCCUCCUGAAGAAAAUAGCUUUUCUGUGGGCAUCUGGAUGCUGUCCCCUGUUAAACAGGUUCCAGCUGGUUUUCUACCUCUCCCUUAGUUCCACCAGACCAGACGAGGGGCUGGCCAGUAUCAUCUGUGACCAGCUCCUAGAGAAAGAAGGAUCUGUUACUGAAAUGUGCAUGAGGAACAUUAUCCAGCAGUUAAAGAAUCAGGUCUUAUUCCUUUUAGAUGACUACAAAGAAAUAUGUUCAAUCCCUCAAGUCAUAGGAAAACUGAUUCAAAAAAACCACUUAUCCCGGACCUGCCUAUUGAUUGCUGUCCGUACAAACAGGGCCAGGGACAUCCGCCGAUACCUAGAGACCAUUCUAGAGAUCAAAGCAUUUCCCUUUUAUAAUACUGUCUGUAUAUUACGGAAGCUCUUUUCACAUAAUAUGACUCGUCUGCGAAAGUUUAUGGUUUACUUUGGAAAGAACCAAAGUUUGCAGAAGAUACAGAAAACUCCUCUCUUUGUGGCGGCGAUCUGUGCUCAUUGGUUUCAGUAUCCUUUUGACCCAUCCUUUGAUGAUGUGGCUGUUUUCAAGUCCUAUAUGGAACGCCUUUCCUUAAGGAACAAAGCGACAGCUGAAAUUCUCAAAGCAACUGUGUCCUCCUGUGGUGAGCUGGCCUUGAAAGGGUUUUUUUCAUGUUGCUUUGAGUUUAAUGAUGAUGAUCUCGCAGAAGCAGGGGUUGAUGAAGAUGAAGAUCUAACCAUGUGCUUGAUGAGCAAAUUUACAGCCCAGAGACUAAGACCAUUCUACCGGUUUUUAAGUCCUGCCUUCCAAGAAUUUCUUGCGGGGAUGAGGCUGAUUGAACUCCUGGAUUCAGAUAGGCAGGAACAUCAAGAUUUGGGACUGUAUCAUUUGAAACAAAUCAACUCACCCAUGAUGACUGUAAGCGCCUACAACAAUUUUUUGAACUAUGUCUCCAGCCUCCCUUCAACAAAAGCAGGGCCCAAAAUUGUGUCUCAUUUGCUCCAUUUAGUGGAUAACAAAGAGUCAUUGGAGAAUAUAUCUGAAAAUGAUGACUACUUAAAGCACCAGCCAGAAAUUUCACUGCAGAUGCAGUUACUUAGGGGAUUGUGGCAAAUUUGUCCACAAGCUUACUUUUCAAUGGUUUCAGAACAUUUACUGGUUCUUGCCCUGAAAACUGCUUAUCAAAGCAACACUGUUGCUGCGUGUUCUCCAUUUGUUUUGCAAUUCCUUCAAGGGAGAACACUGACUUUGGGUGCGCUUAACUUACAGUACUUUUUCGACCACCCAGAAAGCUUGUCAUUGUUGAGGAGCAUCCACUUCCCAAUACGAGGAAAUAAGACAUCACCCAGAGCACAUUUUUCAGUUCUGGAAACAUGUUUUGACAAAUCACAGGUGCCAACUAUAGAUCAGGACUAUGCUUCUGCCUUUGAACCUAUGAAUGAAUGGGAGCGAAAUUUAGCUGAAAAAGAGGAUAAUGUAAAGAGCUAUAUGGAUAUGCAGCGCAGGGCAUCACCAGACCUUAGUACUGGCUAUUGGAAACUUUCUCCAAAGCAGUACAAGAUUCCCUGUCUAGAAGUCGAUGUGAAUGAUAUUGAUGUUGUAGGCCAGGAUAUGCUUGAGAUUCUAAUGACAGUUUUCUCAGCUUCACAGCGCAUCGAACUCCAUUUAAACCACAGCAGAGGCUUUAUAGAAAGCAUCCGCCCAGCUCUUGAGCUGUCUAAGGCCUCUGUCACCAAGUGCUCCAUAAGCAAGUUGGAACUCAGCGCAGCCGAACAGGAACUGCUUCUCACCCUGCCUUCCCUGGAAUCUCUUGAAGUCUCAGGGACAAUCCAGUCACAAGGUAUACCUGUAUAUAUUUUGGAUGACUAUUCUGAUGUAUAAUUUCUUUUUCUUACUUUAAGUGGUUGAAA
rnacentral:lncRNA from 1 species